ensembl:snoRNA SNORA70 Small nucleolar RNA SNORA70
UUGUCGCUAACUAAGCUGAUGAAGUCCCCUUUCCAAUAAGGAUCCGAAGUGCAAUGGUUGCAAAUAGCAGCCUCCUUGGUAGUGUGUGCAGCGUGAUGCCUAUAUGGGUCGCCCUAAGAGUCCUUGGAGACAAAU